GCACGCGGCGGGCAGGCCGGUCUCGCCUCUCGGUGUUCAGCGGCGCCUGGAUCGACACGGCCCCUGCGGGUGUUUUCCAGACGUGUUUGUACCCGGAGCCUCUCCGUGGAAGAGCGCGUUCGUCGCGACCCUGCCGCCGCUGCUGUUGGUCCUCGCGGCGCUGGCGCUGGGCGUCCUCCAGAAGCAGCGGAGAAGCCGAGAAAAGCUGAGGAAGCAGGAGGAGAAGAGACAAGGCUGUGUGCAGAUUUCCACCUUUGAGCUAAGAUAGGAUGAGGCAUAAGAGUCCUGCAGAUGGGCCUCUUUUUGAGGGCAAUGAAGGGGCAAAGAGGAAGCUG
rnacentral:sRNA from 1 species